CCGGGUCCGGUCCCCGCUCUCCUCCCGAACCUCGGACCUGGGACCCGGGGCGACUCCGGCCCGUGCGUGGGGACGUGGAGGGGUCGUGACCUCCGACCGCGGUCACUCACCGUCCUCGCUCUGGUUGUAGUAGCCGAGCAGGGUCCUCAGGCUCACUCGGUAAAUCUGCUCGUUGUUCUUGGCUCUCCGUGUGUUCCUCUCCCAAUACUCCGGCUCCACCUGCGCCAUCCACGGCGCCCGCGGCUCAUAUCUCGGAGUCUCCGCGUCGCUGUCGUAGCGCACGAACUGCGUGUCGUCCACGUAGCCGACGGAGAUGAACCGGGGCUCCCCGAGGCCGGGCCGGGACACGGCGGUGUGGAAAUACAGCAGGGAGUGCGAGCCUGGGGGCGGCGCGCGGUGAGACCCCGACCCUGCUCCCGGGACCCCGGGCAGGAGCGCGGGCCGGGAGGGGAGCGGGGCGCGGGGCUCGGGACGCGGGUGGAGAAGGGGCGGGAGGGUCCGGCUGGGCCACGCGGGGACGCGGCUUCCCCGGUGCCGCCCCCGCCCUCCCCGCAGAGCCCGUUUCCCUCCCGACCCCGCACUCACCCGCGCGGGUCAGGGUCGGGGCCAGGGCGGCCGCCAGCAGCAGGAGCAGCGCGCGCGGCGACAUCGCCCCAUCUUGGAUCUGGGGCGACUCUGAGUUCCGCGGUCUGCGUGGACUUUAUAACAGGUGACCGCAGCGACGCUGGUUGGUUCCCCGGGAUCUCGUCACCCAAUGGGGGUGAGAACCGCCCAGUUGUCAUCAGCGUCCCGGCAGAAGGACCUGACCCGGGUUAGGAGCUGGAGAAGUGAAACUGCAGCCCUGGGCUUCCCCACCCAGACCUCACCCGCCUGGGACUAAGACUUUGCCUGAGCCCUGCGCUGCGGGGUGGAGCGCUGUGUGUCAUGGGGUCUCUGAGCCGCCUAAGGCCAACUGCUCCUCAGGUUAGUGAGGGUGAAACCUGAGAGCGUGAAGUUUCCAGGUAAAAUACACACAGCCCUGAAGGUGCAGGGCUGCUGUGGACACCUGCAUGGGGAGGUGACUGGAGUUUUUACAGUUCUGAUUAAGCACUUUUGACACACUGUGUCAUAUGUGACUCUCCCUGCAGGAAGGAGGCCCUGCUCACCUCUGCUUUCGCUUUCUAUUUUAGUUAAGUGUGACUGGAAUUUGAAGACAUCAAGUAAAAAUCCACAGGAAAAAAAUUAUAAAUUCAAUUUUUCUCCACAUAUUGAACACAGAUGAAACCUAGAAUCCCCAGUGUGUACCCUGCCGUGAGAGUCACCCUCUGUCCAGUGUCCACACUGCACAGGCCUGAGGAAUUCAGAAGCCAACUGUCAUCAGAUCCAGUGUCCCACAAGCCUGUGACAAUCAUCUCCCUCAUCUCAUCAGCUCAUAAAGACUAUGGAAUGAAGAUCUGUGUAAAACACAAGCAUCUGGAGCCACAGAUGAUCAUCUGGGAAGAAACACCAGGAGUCUGAGUGUAAGCACAGGCUGUGAAGACACGAUCCCGAGUGAAGAGGCAAAGUCUCUGUUUACAGACCCUGGAUCUUCUAGGAGAAAAGUCACUUCCAGGAACACAAUGGCAACAACAAGCAGGUUGGGAUGCAGUGCAGAGAUGCUUCUCUUUAAAGCUGAGGUGCUGGCCUGCAAGCCCCACAGACUCCCACAGAGACACAGUCAUGCUCACUGUCUUGGGUCUCUGGCUGCCCUGUCCUCAUCAAACUUAGAGCCAGGUGGAACAUUCCAUCCUUUCUACCAGUGGGAAGAAGACAUUUUGUUUUCUUUCAGGGAUGAAGCAGAUCUAUGGGAGCCAAAAGAGGCUGCAAAUCCCUUCCUCCUUCCCCACAAUAAAACUCCACAUAGCUCUG